ensembl:snRNA U6 U6 spliceosomal RNA
UCGCUACGGCAGCACAUAUACUAAAAUUGGAUCAAUACAGAGAAGACUAGCAUGGCCCCUGCGAAAGGAUGACACGCAAAUCCGGCAGUCGUGGGCUGGAAGU